UGGGGGAUAUUGCGCAAUGGGGGAAACCCUGACGCAGCAACGCCGCGUGAAGGAAGACGGUUUUCGGAUUGUAAACUUCUUUGACGAGGGACGAUAAUGACGGUACCUCGAAAACAAGCCACGGCUAACUACGUGCCAGCAGCCGCGGUAAUACGUAGGUGGCGAGCGUUGUCCGGAAUUACUGGGUGUAAAGGGCGAGUAGGCGGACAUACAAGUCAGAAGUGAAAUCUAGGGGCUCAACCCCUAAACUGCUUUUGAAACUGUAUGCCUUGAGUGCCGGAGAGGAAAGCGGAAUUCCUAGUGUAGCGGUGAAAUGCGUAGAUAUUAGGAGGAACACCAGUGGCGAAGGCGGCUUUCUGGACGGUAACUGACGCUGAGGCGCGAAAGCGUGGGGAGCAAACAGG
rnacentral:rRNA from 1 species